CCUACGGGAGGCAGCAGUGAGGAAUAUUGGUCAAUGGGCGGUAGCCUGAACCAGCCAAGCCGCGUGAAGGAAGAAGGUACAACGUAUCGUAAACCUCUUUUGUCAGGGAACAAAGUCGGGGACUAGUCCCCGGAUGAAGGUACCUGAAGAAUAAGCAUCGGCUAACUCCGUGCCAGCAGCCGCGGUAAUACGGAGGAUGCGAGCGUUAUCGGAUUUUUUGGGGUUAAAGGGUGCGCAGGCGGGCUGUUAAGUCAGCGGUAAAAGCUCGGGGUUAACCCCCGGCGAGCCGUUGAAACUGGCGGGCUGGAGUUGGAUAGAGGUACGCGGAAUGCGAGGUGUAGCGGUGAAAUGCUUAGAUAUCGCGCAGAACCCCGAUUGCGAAGGCAGCGUACUGG
rnacentral:rRNA from 1 species